rnacentral:sRNA from 1 species
GUCGUUUUUCAUAUUUCCUGCAGAGCGAACGGAGCGAAGUGCGCUUGGGAGAUGAGAAGAUCACCACAACAAAAGCAGCAAAAAUUUU